CAUUCCACAUUCCAUGGACUCUUGAAGAGACAUUGAUGAAACAGUGCAGCCAUGAACCACCCUAACUCAAUCCUAGUGGCAGAAUCCCCCUUUUACUGCAGAAUGAGCUUGUUGCUACAGUGAUACUUGAACCCCUUAGAUAUAUUCUGUACUGAUUGUAUGAAAACAUGACCAAUGCUUUUGCUUUGUUGUCCCCCAAAUUAAACACCUUAAUCAUGAGAACCCAGAUAAUUGGAUUUAGUGUGACUGAUUCCCAACUUUCAGUAAGAGCAUAAUUAGAUUAUAUUUUUCUCCAGU
rnacentral:lncRNA from 1 species